AUGAACGCUAGCGGUGCGCCUAACACAUGCAAGUCGUGCGGCUCGCAAGAGCAGCGGCGAACGGGUGCGUAACACGUUGAAACCUCCCCCGAACUCAGGGAUAACCCACCGAAAGGUGGGCUAAUACCGGAUAGUCCCGUAAGGGUAAAGCCUCGGCGGUUCGGGAAGGGUCUGCGGAGUAUCAGCUAGUUGGUAGGGUAACGGCCUACCAAGGCUACGACGCUUAGCUGGUCUGAGAGGACGAUCAGCCACAAUGGAACUGAGACACGGUCCAUACUCCUACGGGAGGCAGCAGUGAGGAAUCUUCCGCAAUGGGCGAAAGCCUGACGGAGCGACACCGCGUGGAGGACGAAGGCGUUUUCGUUGUAAACUCCUUUUCUGAGGGAAUAACUGAUGAAUGUACCUCAGGAAUAAGCACCGGCUAACUACGU
rnacentral:rRNA from 1 species